ACAAUUACCGCCAACGGUAACAAACUGAGUUAUCCAAAAUCUGAGCCUCGCCAUCGUGCGGGGUUUU
rnacentral:sRNA from 22 species